GACGAACGCUGGCGGCGUGCUUAACACAUGCAAGUCGAACGGAAAGGCCCCUUUGGGGGUACUCGAGUGGCGCACGGGUGAGUAACACGUGAGUAACCUGCCCUUGACUUCGGGAUAACUUCAGGAAACUGGGGCUAAUACCGGAUAGGAAUCCUUGCUGCAUGGUGGGGGUUGGAAAGCUUCGGCGGUUUUGGAUGGACUCGCGGCUUAUCAGCUUGUUGGUGGGGGAGUGGCUUACCAAGGCUUUGACGGGUAGCCGGCCUGAGAGGGCGACCGGCCACAUUGGGACUGAGAUACGGCCCAGACUCCUACGGGAGGCAGCAGUGGGGAAUAUUGCACAAUGGGCGGAAGCCUGAUGCAGCAACGCCGCGUGCGGGAUGACGGCCUUCGGGUUGUAAACCGCUUUCAGCAGGGGCGAAGCUUGUGGUGACGGUACCUGCAGAAGAAGCACCGGCUAACUACGUG
rnacentral:rRNA from 1 species